GGAGACAAUAGCAAAGGAAAGAUCAUCGGUAUAGGCAAUAUUGAUAUCACUCCCUCUAAGUAUAUUAAAAAUAUUUUAUUAGUAGAUAGUUUGAAACAUAAUCUAUUAAGCAUUAGACAAUUUUGUGACAAAGGGUACAAAAUUAUUUUUGAAUCUUCGUUAUGCAUAGUAACUGUCCCAAUGAUGAAGAUAUUAAAUUUGUUGGGCAU
rnacentral:lncRNA from 1 species